rnacentral:rRNA from 1 species
UGCAGCAGGCGCGAAACCUUUUCAAUGCGCGCAAGCGUGAGAAGGGAACUCCAAGUGCUCAAGUAUUACUUGGGCUUUUGCUAAGUGUAAAAAGCUUGGCGAAUAAGGGGUGGGUAAGACUGGUGCCAGCCGCCGCGGUAACACCAGCGCCCCGAGUGGGGAUCGCGAUUAUUGGGCCUAAAGCGUUCGUAGCAGGUUCUGUAAAUCCUUUGUGAAAUGGGCAGGCUUAACCUGUCCGCGCGCAGAGGAGACUGCAGGACUCGAGAUCGGGAGAGGUCAGAAGUAUUCUUUGGGUACCGGUAAAAUGGGUUAAUCCAGAGAGGACUACCAAUGGCGAGGGCAUCUGACUAGAACGAUUCUGACUGUGAGGAACGAAAGCUAGGGGAGCAAAACGGAUUAGAUACCCGAGUAGUCCUAGCCGUAAACGCUGCGAGCAAGGUAUUGCGCCUCCCACGAGGAUGCGCAGUGUCGAAAUGAAGAUGUUAAGCUCGCCGCCAGGGAAGUACGGUCGCAAGGCUGAAACUUUAAGGAAUUGGCGGGGGAGCAC